UCUUCGGAGAGUUUGAUCCUGGCUCAGGACGAACGCUGGCGCCGUGCCUAAGACACGCCCGGCGAGCGAAUCAAUGGGAGCUUGCUCCCUGAGAUUAGCGGCGGACGGGUGAGUAACACGUGGGCAACCUGCCUAUAAGACUGGGAUAACUUCGGGAAACCGGAGCUAAUACCGGAUACGUUCUUUUCUCGCAUGAGAGA
rnacentral:rRNA from 1 species